rnacentral:rRNA from 1 species
UACGGAGGGGGCUAGCGUUGUUCGGAAUUACUGGGCGUAAAGCGCACGUAGGCGGCUUUGUAAGUUAGAGGUGAAAGCCCAGGGCUUAACCCUGGAAUUGCCUUUAAGACUGCAUCGCUAGAAUUGUGGAGAGGUAAGUGGAAUUCCGAGUGUAGAGGUGAAAUUCGUAGAUAUUCGGAAGAACACCAGUGGCGAAGGCGACUUACUGGACACAUAUUGACGCUGAGGAGCGAAAGCGUGGGGAGCGAACAGG